rnacentral:lncRNA from 1 species
AAGGAUAGGUCUAUAAAGCUCAUCCUAAAAGAGUUUGGGAUACUACUUUCUGAAAGGAUUACCAUGUAAUUGUGACCCGAUUUGCUGUCUUGAAAAAUGGUUUAACUAAGAUGAAGUAGUGGGAGGAAAGUUAAGCUCGAAGAGAUGUCUUUGAAGAGCAAUAAGCCUUAAGACCUUAAGAACUUACUCAUUAUGAGCCAGUAGACGUAUAUUCCUCCUCCAUGUCGUAUACAUAGUAGGAUCUCCAAUCCUCUCGAAAAGUACUUGGGUAUGCUUAACAGAGGAUGUAGAGAAAGUCAUUUUUCAUGAG